UUUUGAAACCUCAAGUCUCGGUCUCUCCUACCUCUCGUUCUCUCCCCAACUGAGUGUUCUUUUCCUCCUCCCUGCCUUUUUCAUUCCUGCAGCUGUGUGAUUAAUUGGGGGAGAGUGAAAUUAGGGUUUGUCCGUCUUCACUCAAUCAAAGGUAAUCAACUCUCGUUUUGAUUAAUUGUGAUUCUUAAACUUGAUUAUAUGCAUAAGUGUCUGUAUACUUGUGUAUGUAUGUAUUUGUGUGGCUGUUCGUUUCGACUGGAGAUGAUGACAACACUGUUGGUGGAGGGCCGUGGUGGUGAUGUGGUGGUGUAUAUAUAGCUGUGUGUUAUGUUCUUAAAAUGGGUUUUUUUGUGUAAUUUGAGUUGUGGUGUUAGAAUUGAGGCAAUUGUUGUCAAGCUUCGCAGCGGUAAUGUCCUGUUUUGUAGCUUUGUUCUAGGACUAUUAAGUUCAAUUACUAUGCUUAAUUUCCCUGUGAUUAUAUGCUCCUUGAAGUCUAGAUUAAGUGCGAAAAAGAAUUUCAAAGUUUCGUUAAAUGAGCUAAAAGUUAUGAAUUAAUUAGUGACUCUAUGUCUAGAUGACAAAAUUCUGCUAUGUGACAUAUGUGUGCACUGCCCUAUUUUGACAUGUGUAUUUCAAACUGAUAUAAGAUUAAUUGGUGAAUGGAUUGAUUUAUAUUGAUGUCUCUUAAGGUAUAAAAUCAGUACCAAAAGGAUUUAGGUUGAUUGGAUUAAUAAGAUUAAAGUUAUGUUAGAUUUUUAAGAGAUAUGCUACAUGAUUAGAUGCUGAGUAAUAUGUUAUGAUUUUGAUGUGUCUUGUAUGCAAAGUCUGUACAACAUAGAAUAGAAUUAAAAUACUGAACCUCUGAGACUAUAUGCUAUGUGGAAUCAAGGAUCUAUGCCAAGUGGAAUUAAUCAAUUUGGAUUAGUAAAUAUUAAGAUAUGAAUUUUUAUGUGUACGGUGUUAUUAGAGCCCUGCUGUGAUGCUUUCUCUGCACCAUGUUGAACUUCCAAAAUUUAUACUAAAUUAAUUAUGUGUUGGAACUUGUUUGUUUGACCUCUGUAACUUAGCUAUUCGAGUUCUAUAUGAUUUCUAUUCUCUGAGUUCCUUGAUUUGGUGCUUAUAAAAUGAAUUUCUAAAAAUACAAAAAUGAUUUGAAAAAUUCUUUCAAUUACUUGAAAAUUAUAAUGAAUAUUUUUAGGAGUUUUUAAAAUAUUAAAUAUAUUAUUUUUGUAAAAGUUUGAUGUUUAAAUAUUUUCUGAACGCAAUUAAUUUCUAAAUUGCGUAUAAAUUUCAUAAGUACUCGAUAAAUCUCAAAACUUUUAUUUCAUUGGUCUUAUAACAUUCCGGGAUUUAUAAAAAUAUUUCGGUAGCUGUCGGAAGAAAUUUUACUGCAAGUUUUUCCCUGAAUUAGUUGAUAUCGGGUAUUUAGGAUUGAAUAUCAGAUUAAAAGGAGGUGUGACAUGUGUCCCAAUAUUCCACCGCCUAUACUCCCUUUCUUCUUUCCUUUUCUAUAUUUCAUCACUUUUAAAACAUCAAGUCUCAGUCUCUCGCAUCUCUCGUUGUUGAGCCUCAACUAGUGUUCUCUUCCUCCUCUCUGCCUUUUCAAUCUUGCAACCGUGUGAUUAAUUAGGAGAGAGUGAAAUUAGGGUUUGGGAUUUUUCAACCAAUCAAAGGUAAUCAUCUCUCGUUUCGAUUAAUUGCGAUUCUUAAACUUGAUUAUAUGCAUAAGUGUGUGUAUACUUGUGUAUGUAUGUAUCUGUGUGGCUGUUCGCUUUAACUGGAGAUGAUGACAACAUUGUUGGUGGUUUGGUGGUGGAGCUGUGGUGUUGAUGUGGUGGUGUAUAUAUAGCUGUGUACAUGUUCUUAGAAUGGGUUUUGUGUAAUUUGAGAUGUGGUAUUAGAAUUGAGUCAAUUGUUGUCAAGCUUCGCAGCGGUAAUGUCCUGUUUUGUAGCUUUGUUCUAGGACUGUUAAGUUCGAUUACUAUGCUUAAUUUUCCUGCGAUUAUAUGCUCCUUGAAGUCUAGAUUAAGUGCGAAAAAGAAUUUCAAAGUUUCGUUAAAUGAGCUAAAAGUUAUGAAUGAAUUAGUGACUCUUUGUCUAGAUGAGAAAAUUCUGCUAUGUGACAUAUGUGUGCAUUGCCCUGUUUUGACAUGUGUACUCCAAACUGACAUAAGAUUAAUUGGUAAAUUGAUUAACUUAUAAUGAUGUUUCUUAAGGUAUAAAAUCAGUACCAAGAGGAAUUAGGUUGAUUGGAUUAAUAAGAUUAAAGUUAUGUUAGAUUUUUUUUAAGAGAUAUACUACAUGAUUAGAUGCUGAGUAAUAUGUUAUGAUUUUGAAGUGUCUUGUAUGCAAAGUCUGUAUAACAUAGAAUAGAAUUAAAAUACCAAACCUCUGAGACUAUAUGCUAUGUGGAAUCAAGGAUCUAUGCCAAGUGGAAUUAAUCAAUUUGGAUUAGUACAUAUUAAGAUAAGAAUUUUUAUGUAUCCGGUGUUAUUAGAGCCCUGCUGUGAUGCUUUCUCUGCACCAUGUUGAACUUUCAAAAUUUAUACUAAAUUAAUUAUGUGUUGGAACUUGUUUGUUUGACCUCUGUAACUUGGCUAUGUGAGUUCUCUAUGAUUUCUAUUCUUUGAGUUUCUUGAUUUGGUGCUUGCUUCUAUUUUAUGAAAAUUGAUCAAGUCAAGUAUGUCAAAACCAUACUACACUGUCCUGUUUUGCUAAAUGAUGCAUUAUGUACUAACUAUAACUGAUUAAAUGGCGAGUCUUUUUGUGUUGAUCAGAUAAUUUCAAGUAUGACGUCUCCUGUUUGUAUUGUCUUGGAAAAUUAUGUAAUCUAGUGUUCUAUAAGUUAGCAAAAUUGAGAGGGUUGUUGCUGAUUUGUAUUAAGAAGUCAACUUAAUUAAUGAUUUCCUGUUUUAUUACUUGAUCACUUUUUGCAUACUAUAUAUGGUUAGAAAGAUCUUGGAAUGCUCUAUCUUUUUUUGUUUAAUGUAUCUAUAAAUGAGAUUUCCGAAUGCUAGUAAAAUGCAAAUCUCUUGGUGUCUGUCCAGCAGUUUAUGGGCUUUAUGAAUUGUCGAGUUAGAAUUAUAUGUAUUGUUCUAUGACUUGCAUCUAGACUUAAAGUUGAAUCAUUGUUUGGCUGAGAUAUGUGAGUUAUUGAUGUGUGAUUGUGUUUUAAUUGAUAAUUGGUUCGGUACUUGUUGGUUUAUUGAGUUGGAUUGGGUUGGUUAUUUGUUGAGUUGUAUAGGGAGUUAGAAAACUGUUUUGUUAAUAACUUUUGAUACGUAAUUCAGAAUCGAGUGAAACGAAAAAGAGGUUAAAGCUUAGAAACUCUAGUUUAAUAUAAUGUAACAAUAUGAUUGAGUUUCCAAUGUGUAUAAAGAUUGUUGAAAAUGCAUAAUGUGACUAUACGUGAUCUAUUUGCUAUAUAGUGAUGAUUAUAUCAAAUACGUAUCCAUUUGAUUUGAUAAACGAUUUGGGAGACAUAGCAUCUUGUCUUGAUUAAUGUUGAAUAAGAAUAUGUAGAUUACAGGAAUUUGAGUUGAUUGAUUGGUCGUUGGUUGAAAUAGGCUGACAGAUGGAUAGUCCUAUAAAUAGACAAGACGCUGUCAGAUUUUCAAUAGGAUUUAUAUGGUUAUUGAGUUGUAGUAUGCUACAUGGAGUAUGAUGUGACUAUAUGAUAAAGUCAAAGCAUGAUUAUAUGUUAAGUGAUACCUGAUAAGUGCAUAGAGAUUAUAUAGGGUGAUAUGUGAUUAUGUGUUAAAUGCUAUCGAUAUAAGUGAUAUGUAUAUGCGAUAGGUUAUGAUACCGAGUUUGAUAAGUAAGAUAAGAAUUAAUAGAUUAUUUAGUAAUUAUGGUAGUAUUUUAUUCUCGUAAAGGAUUUGGACGAGGCGUAUACGACCGAAGACGUUCAGAAAGUCAAACGGUGUUCCAAAGCGAAUGAGGAACGAAUCGAGUAAGUGAAGCAGUGUGGCGAAUAAAGUAUAGCCAGAGAUGGUCUAGAUACUAUGAUAUGCAUAGGUUGUGAGUUGGAAAGAUGAGAUUAAGCUGUGUGUGGAAGCGGAUUUAAGGCAAGUUUUCCUAAAUACUUCCUCACAUAUAUAUAUUGCAUGUUCUGAUUAUUCUGUCCAGACUAUGUUAUUGCUUAUACUGAAACCCUUCUCAAAUAAACUCUUAUUUCUGAGAAUGAAACCCAUGAUUGUUUUCAACUUUCAAGUCUUUGAAAAGCCAAACACCCAAAUACUCUCACUUUCUAUUACAAGUAUUCUGAUCCAUUCUUUCCAAUCCUCAAGAUUUUAAAAAUAUCAGCUUUACAAAUUAAUUCGAAGUUCAGACCGUCAUUGAAGCAUGGGUUGCUCAGUGAUAGUUAGAACCUAGAAUGAGUUGGGAUCUUCUUGAUUAUUCAACCCGCCAUUGUCAUGCUGGUUUAGCAGGCUAAAUUCAGUUGCUUAGCCGAUAAUGGAGGAUACUGAAUAGUUAGGAAUUUCCUGAACUAUGAUUUAUCAAAAGACAGACUGUGGUUUAUGAAAUGUUGAUUCUCAAAAGUUGGUUUGGAAUAUUUCUGUUGUUGAUAAUGAUUAUGAUUCUGUUCUGUUGAUUAAAUUGUCUAUUGAUUUAAAUUGUUAGAAUUGGAUUAGUUUUUAUAAAAUAUGUGGACCAGAUUCGUGGUCAGACCAGAUUCGUGGUCAAUUAUAGGCCAAUGUGUGCCUUGGAUCCAGUAUAGAGAACAGGGCUGUGUGCCAUGUUCGGGGUUAGUGCGUGACUGAUCAGCAGCCUAACCUUUGGUUUUUAAGUAAAAAUGUGAUGAAUCCAAUUCGACAAUUCUUCUGUAAGUUUGAAUUCUGAUUUCAAUUGCUGAUAAGAAUUGUGAAGUUUUCAAUUACAUAUCCUGAACUUGUGAACCCUGAUAAGAUAUUUCAGGACUAUUGUUGCUUAUAUACACUUGCUGAGCAUUGUUGCUCACCCUUGCUAUUCCUUUUUAACCAUUUCAGAAAAGCUUAGAGAUGAAUUGCUUGAUUGAGAUUGCGAGUAUGGCUAAGGCUAAGCGAGGAGUCAGAGUUAUAGAAUAUCCAGAGGACAAGUGGAAUGUCCAGGGAGAUUGUCAAGGUUGGUUCUAGAUAGAAUUGUAUUGAUGAGAUUCAGUUGUAAGUCAUAAUUGAAAUAGAUUGACAGUGAUUCUUCUUAUCGAAGAUGAUCUGAGAUUGUAAGACAUUGUUUAUUGAUAGUGGUUGAUUCUAAUUUCAAUACUGUAACCUGGAUGCGAUCCUGUUUUUAGGGGGUUAAAGUGUUUUCUUUUAAAUCUUUUAUUAAAGUCUUCAAGUUUUAAAUGCUUUGAUUUUUAUUUUCUCCUCAAAAAUACAGGUUUUCAAAAGUGUUUAAAAAUGGGUUUUGUGUGGUGACGUCAGAAUCCAGACCCCCGGAUUCUCGGGCUGUCACAGUUAGUCUUGGGGGAGAAUCGCCUAAGCAAUCAUUUCAGGAAAAUGCCAUUUUUCUUCAAAAAUCAUGAAACAACCAACAUUAAUUUGUGUGGCUUGAUAAAGUUGGUAAAACUUGCAAACCGCAACUACACCG
rnacentral:lncRNA from 1 species